rnacentral:rRNA from 1 species
UACGUAGGGGGCGAGCGUUGUCCGGAUUUAUUGGGCGUAAAGAGCUCGUAGGCGGUUUGGUAAGUUGGAUGUGAAAUCUCCAGGCUCAACUUGGGGGGGUCAUUCGAUACUGCCAUGACUAGAGUUCGGUAGGGGAGUGUGGAAUUCCUGGUGGAGCGGUGAAAUGCGCAGAUAUCAGGAGGAACACCCGUAGCGAAGGCGGCACUCUGGGCCGGAACUGACGCUGAGGAGCGAAAGCGUGGGGAGCGAACAGG